rnacentral:misc_RNA from 2 species
CGCGAAUGGCUCAUUAAAUCAGCUAUGGUUCCUUAGAUCGUACAUACUACAUGGAUAACUGUAGUAAUUCUAGAGCUAAUACAUGCAAAUAUGCCCUGACCCGCGAGGGGACGGGUGCUUUUAUUAGAACAGAAUCAACGUUUGCAUUCUGUGAUGACUCUGGAUAACUUCGAUGAUCGCAGUCGGCCAUGUGUCGGCGACGGAUCUUUCAAGUGUCUGCCCUAUCAACUUUCGAUGGUAGGUGAACCUGCAGAAGGAUCAAGCUGGA